UCCAUUGUGUUCACCAGAGUCACUGCCGUGGACAACAGACAGUAACAGUAUGGCGUCGACGAGCCGUGGAGACUCUCUUCCCAAGGUGCAAUGCCCCAAUCACCCCGAUGCAAUACUGGUGGAGGACUACAGGGCAGGAGACAUGAUCUGUCCUGAAUGCGGCCUCGUAGUAGGUGACCGUGUAAUUGAUGUAGGGUCAGAGUGGAGAACGUUCACCAAUGAGAAAGCAACUAAAGAUCCGUCUCGUGUUGGUGACACUCAGAACCCUCUCCUCAAUGGAGGAGACCUCACCACCAUGAUCAGCAAAGGAACAGGUGCAGCGAGCUUUGAUGAGUUUGGAAAUUCCAAGUACCAGAAUCGGAGAACCAUGAGCAGCUCCGAUCGAGCCAUGUUGAAUGCCUUCAAGGAGAUAACCACCAUGGCCGACAGGAUCAACCUCCCCAGAAACAUCAUCGACCGAACAAACAACUUGUUCAAACAGGUUUACGAACAGAAGAGUCUGAAAGGCAGAAGUAAUGAUGCGAUCGCUUCAGCCUGCCUUUACAUAGCGUGCAGACAGGAGGGCGUCCCUAGAACAUUUAAAGAAAUCUGUGCCGUGUCUCGGAUCUCGAAGAAGGAGAUUGGCCGCUGCUUCAAGCUUAUCCUGAAGGCUCUUGAGACGAGCGUGGAUCUCAUUACAACCGGCGACUUCAUGUCACGUUUCUGCUCCAACUUGGGCUUGCCCAAACAGGUGCAGAUGGCGGCCACUUACAUCGCCAGGAAGGCCGUUGAACUGGACUUGGUUCCAGGGCGCAGUCCGAUCUCAGUGGCAGCCGCAGCCAUUUACAUGGCCUCUCAAGCGUCUGCUGAGAAGAAGACUCAGAAGGAGAUUGGGGACAUUGCUGGAGUGGCAGACGUCACCAUCCGUCAGUCCUACCGUCUCAUUUAUCCCCGCGCUGCCGAUCUCUUUCCUCCAGACUUCAAGUUCGACACACCAGUGGAUAAACUGCCUCAACUGUGAACACCCAUGUGCCCCACACUCACCGCUCUUUGUACUUUCAGAAUUUUUGCCCUUUUCUCUUUGAAAUUUGCACGUUUUGCUCUUCCCCCGUGAAGACACAAGCCUUUUGAAAAGACGACGGCAGGGAUUCGACAAAGUACAGAAGACACAUUCCAAGUUAAAUCACAGAUUGCAGGCUGUACUUUCAUUUGUGUGUAUAUAAAUUGUACAUAUGUCUAAGUGAGAAUUUGGUGGUUGCAACUAGGCAUAUUUCUUACUGUAACAUUUUCUUUUGUAGGAAAUGAUUUUGUUAGCUUGUUUGCAUUAUAUUUAGUAACUUAAAUAAUAAAUACUUUUCAGAAAAGCAUGGUGAACAUCUCGGAAAUCCCCAGAGCAGGUGUACAAAUACCAUGGGCUUUGAAAGCGUGUAGCUCACGAAUGGUUUUGUUUCCCCCUCUUUUUUUCUUUCACGAGGGGAAUGGUAUGAAGCAGAAGUUUCUGUUCGUGUGUUUCUGUUCCUGUAUCCACAGCUCAGUUAUUAUAAAGAUUUCAUGAAACACCAGAGAAUCCUUUUUGAAGUGACAAAUAAACCAUUUACAACCUGAUUAGGUCUACGAAAUGCAGAAAGACUCACGACUUACGUAAUAAACAUUUAAUUUUUGCAUUCAUGAUGGCUGACAGUUUGAGCAAAACCUGUUAUUUACACCAUUGUGAAGUCAAACUUCACGACUGUACCUUUGAAACUUUUCUUCUGCAUCAUGCUCCGACAUACAAGUAGUGGGUAGAAAACCUUUGACCGGUCCUUUUGUUUUCCCACCAUUUAGAUAAAACAUGGAUAUUUUAGACAAAAUUAGUGCUUCCAGCUUGAUAGUGUUUAUGUAGUGUAGCCUAUAUAAGACACCAGACCUCCAACUAGUAUCUACCCCUCCACUUGGAUUGCUUAUUAUUACACAUAUGAAGCUUCAGGCCUAUUUUUGAACAUCUGGACCAGUUAUUAGUAUAUUUAUAUUGAUAUUUGGUGUCUAGCAUAGAUUCCAGUCUGUCAUGUCUCAUGUCCACAUAUGAAAAAAAAAACAUGAAAUGGAGGAAUUUCAGUAGGGAACAACUAGGUAACGAGGUAAUGUGAUUGCCUGUCACAUACACGCUGUUUAAAAGUUUGAGGUUGGUAAAAAUUUUCUAUGUUAUUGAAAGAAAUCAACUUGAACAAAAAUACAGUAAAAACAGCAACAUUGUGACAUGUGGUAAC